rnacentral:ribozyme from 1 species
AAGGAAGAAGGACACAUACACCACAAAAAAAGGGAAAAGAAGGAAGAAGGACACUACUACUGCAUUAGUUAUUUGUCCUUUUUUUUGUUUUCAACUAUACUUUCACCCUCUAUUCUACUAAUAUUUUUUUUUUUUGUAU